UAUGGGCUGAAUGGCCUAAUUCUGCUCCUAUGACAUGAACUUACAAACUUCUGUCUUUGAAUUGCAGUUCCUCCAACGCCGCCCAUUUGCAAAAUAGAGGGCAAAGCAGAAUAUGGGGAGACUGUCAAACUGAUGUGCCACUCGGAGGAAGGGUCGCCUGCCCCAGUGUACUCCUGGCAAAACUACUGCCCCAUGAAUCAGCCACGGGAACUGCCUCAAAUGUCCAUUCAGGAGACAGAUGGUUUAACAUUAAGAAAUAUUUCAGCCAAGACAUCUGGCUUCUUCAUUUGUACCUC